rnacentral:rRNA from 1 species
UACGGAGGGGGCAAGCGUUGUUCGGAAUUAUUGGGCGUAAAGGGCGCGUAGGCGGCCGGCCAAGUCGGGUGUGAAAUCCCUCGGCUCAACCGAGGAACUGCACUCGAUACUGGCUGGCUUGAGUCCGGGAGGGGAUGGUGGAAUUCCUGGUGUAGCGGUGAAAUGCGCAGAUAUCAGGAAGAACACCUAUGGCGAAGGCAGCUCUCUGGGACGGUACUGACGCUGAGACGCGAAAGCGUGGGGAGCGAACAGG